rnacentral:lncRNA from 1 species
UAUACAUCCUUUCUCUGGUUGAUUCUUGCUAUCGAUUCCUCUACGACGAGCCAAGAUCUGAGUCUCAUGUGUGUCCACAGGGGGAAAACAGAGGCGAGCGAGACUCCAGGCCUGUCACUCUCCUUCAUUAUCAGCUAAUUUGAAUGGUUGUUGCCAGUAAGUGAAAUGGGAAUUGUACAUCAAGAUUCACGGAGCAGAAACGAAUUACCAGAGGGAGAUGGGUAGUCUGCAAAUGGUACAAAGGAUCUCUUUUGAGCUGAUCUGCUCCAAACGACUGGUUUCAAACUGAACAAGGAAAUAAGCAAAUGGACAAGUCAUUAGAAACAACCUUGCGCAAAAUAAUUUGAAACAUCAUUAUGCAGUUUACUGUCAUUAGAAACAACCUUGCAUAAUAGUAUAAUUUAGUUCCAAAGUAUGUCCAGAGAUACAGGGGUACAGAUCUAGUGCAUUUUAGUUUCAGAGUAUGGUCCAGAAUCAUACUAAAUCUACAAAACCAGUAUCCUUAUCUGAAAGCACCCACACAGUUCAUUUGAUAGAUGCAUUCAGCGGUAAAAGAAAAAAAGGAUGUUAGCAAAUUAGAGCUGCACACACACCUCCAAGGCUCCAAUAGUGUUUUGGCCUGUGUAGGAAACACGAACCCCCAAACACCUCGAGCUCCUUGCCCAGUGG